GCCUUGAUAGCUUAGUGGUUAAGAGCAUGGGGGAAUCAAUCCCAAGUUGUGGGUUCAAUUCCCACUAGACA
rnacentral:tRNA from 1 species